UAUUAUUUUAAGCUAAAUAUUGUUAGUAGAUAAUUAAUAUGAAAUCAUAAGAUUUUGGCGGUAUUUUAAGCUUUUUAGAGGAAUUUGCUCUGUAAUGGAUAAAACGCCUAAAUCUUACUUAAUUUUGUAAAUUCAAUUUGUAUACCACUAUAUUUAAUUAUAUUGAAUGAUUAUAUUUAGGAUUUUUUUAUAAAAAAAUAUAUUAAGUCAAGGUGCAAUAUAAAAUUAUGAAUGAAGUGAAUUACAGUGAUUACAAUUAGUAUGACUAUGAAAUACAUGAUUUUAGGAUUUAAAAGUAAAUUAUUAAUACUAUGAAUAAUUGAAUGAAGCUCUAGAAUAUGCACAUAUCGCCCGUCGCUCUCAGGUUUGAGA
rnacentral:rRNA from 1 species